CUACGUUGGUCCAAAGUGCAAAACGUAGAGGGGUUACAAUAAUGGCCCUUAAAUUGUAUGACUGUUACAAUUUUUUUUGCCUAUUGUUUUGCGUCCAAGUCACGUGACUUUAGAGAGCCCGGCCGUGAGAACAAAAAACAUGGCGGACGUUUCUCUACUUUUUAGUGAAAAAAACAAUAUUUUGAGUUAGUUUCUGCAUAAAAAUAAGGUUUGAUUACAUUUUUAGCGAGAAAUAUAUAUUCUAUUUUCAUAAUAUUCACUCAGUGAAUGUACAUAAUCACUCGCUUGCGCGUUGUUGCAAAGAUUUUUCUGAUCUCGCCAGAAUAAUGUGAAACUGCUACGUUUUGUUUGCUAUGAACAAUAUUUUGAGUUAGUUUCUGCAUAAAAAUAAGGUUUGAUUACAUUUUUAGCGAGAAAUAUAUAUUCUAUUUUCAUAAUAUUAGCGUCAAAAACUGACGCGAAUUUUAUUGGUAUGAAAUCACGCUGAAGAAGUCUCCUUCAGAACACAUCGCGAUAUUUGGCAUCAGUUCGCGUGUGCUGGAUGUUGCUGAAAAGACAAAAAGGGCCUUUCAGAAAUGGAUGAAGGAGACAGAAAGCUGCAAAGGCAAAUAAUUGCAAUGGUAUGUAUGUGUUGCUUUUAACCCUUUAUCAAACAUUUUAUCAAGCAUUUGUUAAAUAGUCUCACAGUAAAUUAAAAUUAAAGUCAAAUCCUGUACAUAUUUAUCACCUUAUUUGUAAAUCAGUUGUGCCCCUUCUUGGACAGUUGGACGUCCCACACAUAAAAGUUUAUAUUAAUUCCAUUGAAUUCUUUAAAAUGAUUACAGAUUGGGCCCAAAAUGUUCCAAUGAUACAUGAUGUCUCUCCGCACCUCAUAACUACCUCUGUUUGCAAGAGUGGAAAUUAUCAUUUGACUUGUCACAUGACAUCAGAUAUUCGAUUAUUUUGUCAUAAUCAAAAUAAUUGAAUAUCUGAUGUCUAUUCAAUAUCUAAUCAGUUACACUGCUGAUAAUGUCCUGCUUGCAUGUGAAACAUGUUAUUUUUUUAUUUAUUCUUUUAAAUAUAAAUAUAGCUUGCUAUUAAAGACAUAUGUUUAAUCAUGGAAAUGCCCACAUAUCAGUGAACUUAUUACAUAAAUGCAUUUAACAUUUAAUUAUGCAACACUCUUUACAGAAGGAAAUCCUACAGUUAUGUGUAAAUUGACAACUUGAAUGUGAUGUAAUAAAUUUACCUUCCUUUCUGUCUUGCAGGAUUACUUGCAGAUUACUUAGUCCUUCUUUUUAGGAUCUCUACAACGUCAAACUCAACAGCUCUUUUAAGAGCCGACCCUCACAAGAGCUACUAGUGAGUCGCUGCAAACCUGCCGUGAUCAGCCCUUUCCAGAGAAGGAAGACCAAUCCUUAUAUUAAAACAAGCUCAUCGAAGUCCUUUGUUUAGGGUGAGGAAGGAACAUGACCAUCUCAUGCCCAAAGAAGACAGAAGUCCAUUGAUAGCAAGUGAAGUCACUAACAGAAGAUCCUAGAGGAAAAACGACUGAUGUGCAGCUACGGAGGAACACAAGAGGCAGAAACUAUGCAUGGCCAUGGCUUCUUCAUGAGUAUGGUUAUCACUUGGUUUUUGACCAAAUUAUGCUCUUGAAACAAGAAACAGAAGAGUAUGUUGUCCUGAAAGAAAUCAAGGCUCAAAAGAGAGCAUGCCUUUCUAAAAGAUCUUUUAAAACAGGUUGCUGUUAAUAUGGGUAAAACAGUUUUUGUUCAGUACUUAGCUUACAGUCUGUGCUGCAUUUUUAUUAUAAUAUAUAUAUUAUGUACUGCUGUUUUGUAAAGUUAAAUCAGGAACAGGCAACUCUAGCCCUUUUGCUGUCUCCUUUUUGAGGUGGAGAGUUUACCUCCAACCAUAAUUGAGCACACCUGAAAAUUUUAUCCAAAGUCUUCAGGUGUACUUAUAGACAGUUAUAGGCAGUUGGGUUUGAGGUUGGAGCUAAAUCUGCAGGACCGUGGACGCUGAGGGCCAGAGUAGCCCACCACUGUUUAAAUCAUGCAGAACAUAAGCUGACCUGGCUGUCCAUUAAACUACUUAACUUGAAUUGUCUGUGUUUUUUUGUUUUACUUUUAGACCAGGACUGAAGAACGCCUGACAAUGGGAUGUUAAGACUUCUUCCUCUGGUUGAGAAAAAGCUACAGCACAUCAGUGAUCACAUCUUCUGGUCAUCAGUUGUACUGUAGAGUACAACUGAACAAACUGUUUAGAAGAAGAACAUGAACAUGAUAGAGACAUGUACAGGGAAGAGCAAGAACCCAGUUCAGCUGUGAUAAUGAAUCUUUAUUUUAAACUCAAUAUCAAAUCUGUUUUCUGGAUCAUAGUUGACUGGAUGGGAUUCUGUGGCGCUCAUUUGUGCAAUAGGAGUAAAGUCUGUGAAUGGAUUAUUAUGACGUUAACGUAUUUUUGAAGACACGUUUUUAUUUAUCUUGAAUCUCAUUUGUCUUUAUGCAAAUUUCAACCUUAUGCUGUAUCCUCCAAUAAAGUGUUGUGUAAUAAA